AGACCAUGAUGGGGGCACAACUGCUGGAGAUCCUUAAAUCUCUCCUAAGCUUCAUAGACGGACUCCCCUGGCUCCUAAGAAAAUGUAGUGAUUUGAUGUCUCAUAUC
rfam:Beta vulgaris subsp. vulgaris Bvchr6.sca010.con0005.1, whole genome shotgun sequence.